rnacentral:siRNA from 1 species
UGGGCUCCUAUCUUGGUUUACCA